rnacentral:misc_RNA from 1 species
AUUCAUUCUCACCAAUCAAAAUACUAAUGUAAAAUCUUGAAAUUCCAUUGUACUAAUAAUCAUCAUUAUUUAAUUAAAAAAUUAUUUAUAAUCUAAAAGAAAGAGAAACAAGGUAAUGCCUAGGCUGUGGUAAACGCUCUUAAAUCUGGUGGCACUUAAGCAAGUAGCUAUAGAAUCUAUCAUCUUCGGUUCCAAAGUUGAAUGAUUCUAAGGCAUGCAUUGAGUCUUGUAACA